CUACAAAUAGCAAUGCCACUCGGAGUCACCGAGGAGGUGAUUAGCUGCACGGAACGCACAGCUGGUGCAGCUGUACUCCUAAGUGCCUUUAACCUACCGCGCUGGCUCCACAAUAGGCAGGGUAAAGCCUUUAGCCACCAGCACAUUAGUAACAUUCUAACUUGUAUCGCUGUUAACCCUUUAAGGUCCAGGGCACCAUGAAUGUGCUCAUUUAUUUACCGUAUGUUUCCUCUUUCACGUAAAGCUCCAUGCAUGUGUCAC